CUGCAUUCCUUAAAGAGCAGAAUAAAGGAUCGAGUUAGACUGGCCUUCUCAACACCUUGGCAAAAGCCCCCUUGGGUCUCGUUUCGCUGGGAUGACUAUUUAUAUGACAGGGUGACUGGUUACAGCCCAAUCAUAAGAAUGACGGGACAGAAUAAACAGCGCCAGACCCAUGAAGGAGCGUGGUGGACCAGACCUGCCCUUCUAUAUGGGACAACACGGUGCCAAUGCCAUCCUGAAGCAUGGGCUGUAGCUGGAGCACUUGACAUG